UACAGAGGUCUCAAGCGUUGUUCGGAUUCAUUGGGCGUAAAGGGGUGCGUAGGUGGGCGCGCUAAGUCAGGUGUGAAAUUUCGGAGCUUAACUCCGAAACUGCAUUUGAUACUGGCGUGCUUGAGGACUGGAGAGGAGACUGGAAUUCACGGUGUAGCAGUGAAAUGCGUAGAGAUCGUGAGGAAGACCAGUGGCGGAAGGCGGGUCUGCUGGGCCGAUACUGACGCUGAGGAGCGAAAGGCGUGGGGAGCGAACAGG
rnacentral:rRNA from 1 species